UACGGGGGGAGCAAGCGUUGUUCGGAUUUACUGGGCGUAAAGCGCGUGUAGGCGGCUUUGCAAGUCGGGCGUGAAAUCCCACGGCUCAACCGUGGAAGUGCACUCGAAACUGCAGAGCUAGAGUCCUGGAGAGGAAGGUGGAAUGCUUGGUGUAGAGGUGAAAUUCGUAGAUAUCAAGCGGAACACCGGUGGCGAAGGCGGCCUUCUGGACAGUGACUGACGCUGAGACGCGAAAGCGUGGGGAGCAAACAGG
rnacentral:rRNA from 1 species